rnacentral:misc_RNA from 1 species
CCAAUAGCGUAUAUUAAAGUUGUUGCAGUUAAAAAGCUCGUAGUUGAACUUCGGGGUUUACUUAUUGGUCAGGCUUAAUUGUCUGCACUGGUGAGAUGAAUCUCUACCUUCUGAGGAACUUUCAUGCCAUUUAUUUGGUGUGAUUGGAAAUCAGGACUGUUACUUUGAAAAAAUUAGAGGGUUUAAAGCAGGCUAACGUCUGAAUACAUUAGCAUGGAAUAAUGAAAUAGGAAGGACUGAUUCUAUUUCGUUGGUUUCUAGGAUCACCGUAAUGAUUAAUAGGGAUAGUUGGGGGCAUUAGUAUGAAAUUGUCAGAGGUGAAAUUCUUGGAUUUAUUGAAGACUAACUACUGCGAAAGCAUUUGCCAAGGAUGUUUUCAUUAAUCAAGAACGAAAGUUAGGGGAUCGAAGACGAUCAGAUACCGUCGUAGUCUUAACCAUAAACUAUGCCGACUAGGGAUCGGACGAAGUUAAUUUUAUAAUGACGCGUUCGGCACCUUACG